GAGUUUGAUUAUGGCUCAGGACGAACGCUGGCGGCGUGCCUAAUACAUGCAAGUCGAGCGGAGUUGAAUAAGUGCUUGCACUAAUUCAACUUAGCGGCGAACGGGUGAGUAACACGUAAAGAACCUGCCUCAUAGACUGGGACAACUACUGGAAACGGUAGCUAAUACCGGAUAACAUAUUUUUCUGCAUGGAAGAAUAUUGAAAGUCGGUCAUGCUGACACUAUGAGAUGGCUUUGCGGUGCAUUAGCUAGUUGGUAGGGUAAAGGCCUACCAAGGCGACGAUGCAUAGCCGACCUGAGAGGGUGAUCGGCCACACUGGGACUGAGACACGGCCCAGACUCCUACGGGAGGCAGCAGUAGGGAAUCUUCCGCAAUGGACGAAAGUCUGACGGAGCAACGCCGCGUGAGUGAAGAAGGAUUUCGGUUCGUAAAACUCUGUUGUUAGGGAAGAAUGAUUGUAUAGUAACUAUAUACAGU
rnacentral:rRNA from 1 species